rnacentral:rRNA from 1 species
AUGCACAUACUGUGAGCUCGAUGAGUAGGGCGGGACACGUGGUAUCCUGUCUGAAUAUGGGGGGACCAUCCUCCAAGGCUAAAUACUCCUGACUGACCGAUAGUGAACCAGUACCGUGAGGGAAAGGCGAAAAGAACCCCGGCGAGGGGAGUGAAAAAGAACCUGAAACCGUGUACGUACAAGCAGUGGGAGCACGCUUCGGCGUGUGACUGCGUACCUUUUGUAUAAUGGGUCAGCGACUUAUAUUCUGUAGCAAGGUUAACCGAAUAGGGGAGCCGAAGGGAAACCGAGUCUUAACUGGGCGUUAAGUUGCAGGGUAUAGACCCGAAACCCGGUGAUCUAGCCAUGGGCAGGUUGAAGGUUGGGUAACACUAACUGGAGGACCGAACCGACUAAUGUUGAAAAAUUAGCGGAUGACUUGUGGCUGGGGGUGAAAGGCCAAUCAAACCGGGAGAUAGCUGGUUCUCCCCGAAAGCU